rnacentral:tRNA from 1 species
UAAAACCUGCAAGACUCCACUCACAUCAACCGAAUGCAACUCA